GGUUGCUUGGUGUAGGGGUAGCAUGCGACGUUGUGGAGUGUCCAGCACAGACAACUGCAACACCGUCUCGACCGCGGUUCGAUUCCGCGAGCAGCCA